UACCUUGUAGUGGGGAAUAGCCUUUCGAAAGAGAGGGUAAUACCGCAUGUUUCCAAAUUUAUUUGGAAAAAGACUUCGGUCGCUAUAAGAGGAGCCCGCGUCCUAUCAGGUAGUUGGUGGGGUAAUAGCCUACCAAGCCAAUGACGGGUAGCCGGUGUGAGAGCACGACCGGCCACAAGGUCACUGAAACACGGGGCCUACACCUACGGGUGGCAGCAACCGGGAAUAUUGCGCAAUGGGCGAAAGCCUGACGCAGCGACACCGCGUGUGGGAAGAAGCUUUUCGGAGUGUAAACCACUGUGGCAAGGGAAGAAUUUUUGACGGUACCUUGCUAGAAAGCACCUGCUAACUACGUGCCAGAAGCCUCGGUAAUACGUAGGGUGCAAGCGUUAUCCGGAUUUAUUGGGCGUAAAGAGUUCCGCAGGCGUCUUUACAAGUUUCUUGUUUAAGCCUGAGGCUCAACUUCAGAAAAGCAAGAAAAACUGUAAAGAUUGAGUUUGUUUGGGGAAGCUGGAAUUCUCGGUGGAGGGGUGAAAUCCGUAGAUAUCGAGAGGAACACCAAUCGCGAAGGCAAGCUUCUAAAACAAUACUGACGCUAAGGGACGAAAGCUUGGGUAGCAAAAGGGAUUAGAGACCCCUGUAGUCCAAGCCGUAAACUUUCCUCGCUAGUUGCCUGGUUAAUAAUGCAU
rnacentral:rRNA from 1 species